rnacentral:tRNA from 1 species
UCCCUGGUGGUCCAGUGGUGAGGACUCUGUGCUUCCACUGCACGGGGCACAGGUUCCGAACCUGGUCGGGGAA